CGUAAAGCGCGCGUAGGUGGCUUGAUAAGCCGGUUGUGAAAGCCCCGGGCUCAACCUGGGAACGGCAUCCGGAACUGUCAGGCUAGAGUGCAGGAGAGGAAGGUAGAAUUCCCGGUGUAGCGGUGAAAUGCGCAGAGAUCGGGAGGAAUACCAGUGGCGAAGGCGGCCUUCUGGACUGACACUGACACUGAGGUGCGAAAGCGUGGGUAGCAAACAGGAUUAGAUACCCUGGUAGUCCACGCCGUAAACGAUGUCGACCAGCCGUUGGGUGCCUAGCGCACUUUGUGGCGAAGUUAACGCGAUAAGUCGACCGCCUGGGGAGUACGGCCGCAAGGUUAAAACUCAAAUGAAUUGACGGGGGCCCGCACAAGCGGUGGAGCAUGUGGUUUAAUUCGAUGCAACGCGAAGAACCUUACCUACCCUUGACAUCUACAGAAGCUGGCAGAGAUGCUGGUGUGCCUUCGGGAACUGUAAGACAGGUGCUGCAUGGCUGUCGUCAGCUCGUGUUGUGAAAUGUUGGGUUAAGUCCCGUAACGAGCGCAACCCUUGUCCUUAUUUGCCAGCGCGUAAUGGCGGGAACUCUAAGGAGACUGCCGGUGACAAACCGGAGGAAGGUGGGGACGACGUCAAGUCAUCAUGGCCCUUACGGGUAGGGCUACACACGUGCUACAAUGGCCGGUACAAAGGGCGGCGAGCUCGCGAGAGUCAGCGAAUCCCUUAAAGCCGGUCUCAGUCCGGAUCGGAGUCUGCAACUCGACUCCGUGAAGUCGGAA
rnacentral:rRNA from 1 species